UACGUAGGUGGCAAGCGUUGUCCGGAUUUACUGGGCGUAAAGAGCGCGCAGGCGGUCGUUCAAGUCGCGUGUGAAAGCCCCCGGCUCAACUGGGGAGGGUCACGCGAUACUGAUCGACUCGAAGGCAGGAGAGGGUAGUGGAAUUCCCGGUGUAGUGGUGAAAUGCGUAGAUAUCGGGAGGAACACCAGUGGCGAAGGCGACUACCUGGCCUGUUCUUGACGCUGAGGCGCGAAAGCUAGGGGAGCAAAAGGG
rnacentral:rRNA from 1 species